AUGGCUUUUGCAAACCCGACAUGCGGCAAGGAUUGGCCGGUGCUGCCAGCUGGCGUCAAGUUCGAUCCCACGGAUCAGGAGCUGAUCGAGCACCUUGAGGCCAAAGUGAGUGCUGGCAGCAUGAGAUCUCACCCUCUCAUCGAUUUGUUCAUACCAACCAUCGACAGCGAGCACGGCAUAUGCUACACACAUCCUGAGAAAUUUCCAGGUAUCACACAGAGUGGCCUAAGCAAGCAUUUCUUCCAGCGCAAUUCUAGGGUGUUCAAAAGGGGCACGUGGACGCGUCGCAAGAUACAGUCGGAGUGCGACAUGCACGCGAUGUGGCACAACACUGGCAAUACCUUGCCGGUGAUGGUCAACGGCCGGCAGACGGGCAACAAAAAGGUUCUGGUGCUGCACACCAACAAGAAAUUCGACCAGCAGAGGACCAACUGGGUGAUGCACCAGUACCACCUUGGGGACCUGGAGGAAGAGAAGGAGCGGGAGCUGGUCCUCUGCAAGAUUUUCUACCAGACGAACACUAGGGCCAGGAGUAAAAAGAUUAUAAUCAACAAUCGACUCUACCAGCGUCAGACCGUUAGAUGUCAAUCUAACAGCAAUCGUGCUUCUUCAGUCUCUGGUCUUCCUGCCCCAGCCGCCCAAACCAGCGCCGUCAGAACCGCCUGCUCCCGCCUCCCGUGGCUGGCUGUGCUGCCAGGCAGGCCUCACGGCCCCAUCAUAUACCCGCAUCCCUGGCCUGUCUAUCCCUCUACUCACCCUGUUAUUUUCCGGCGACGGCAGCCAAACCAGUCAACCCUCGUACUCUCCACCGCGUGGGCAGCCACUGCCGUGUCUUCCCUGGCUCCGUGUAUUUCCCUUCGUAGGCCUCGCCAUCGUCCACCGCCCUGGUGCUCUCGACGCGGAAGUGCCUCCUUAUUGCUCACAAAAAAUGAAUACCCCCUGCCAGCUGGGACCCACCACAAUGGGAGGCUGACUUGUGGGCCUACUAAGUUGACGGGGAUGGAGGGCUUUGUCAACUUAGUCAAUAUGAUCGAUUCUAGCUCCAAUGACCCUGGGUCCACGGCCGCAGCAAGGAAGUGCCUCCUUAUUACGUGCAAAAUAAUUAUUCCUCCACCUGACAGCGGGGACCCACGGACGGGCCACCAUAUUUCGUGA
rnacentral:rRNA from 1 species